rnacentral:rRNA from 1 species
UACGGAAGGCAGCAGUGGGGAAUAUUGCACAAUGGGCGCAAGCCUGAUGCAGCCAUGCCGCGUGUAUGAAGAAGGCCUUCGGGUUGUAAAGUACUUUCAGUCGUGAGGAAGGUGUUAAGGUUAAUAACCUUAGCAAUUGACGUUAGCGACAGAAGAAGCACCGGCUAACUCCGUGCCAGCAGCCGCGGUAAUACGGAGGGUGCAAGCGUUAAUCAGAAUUACUGGGCGUAAAGAGCGCGUAGGUGGUUUUUUUAAAGUCAGAUGUGAAAUCCCUAGGCUUAACCUGGAACUGCAUUUGAAACUGAAAAACUGAGUAUCGUAGAGGAGGUAGAAUUCUAGGUGUAGCGGUGAAAUGCGUAGAUAUCUGGAGGAAUACCUGUGGCGAAAGCGGCCUCCUAAACGGAUACUGACACUGAGUGCGAAAGCGUGGGGAGCAAACAGGAUUAGAUAC